rnacentral:ncRNA from 1 species
AUAAAAGUAUCGAUAAGAACUAGUAAGACACACUAGGUGUACAGAAAGUUGCCGGUUGUUGAGAGGCGCACAAACCUGAUGUAUCUGAAUUCCUCUUUGAACUUCACACCGAAUGAAGUAGGCUGUGACGGUUAUUGCGCACCCGUUAUUGUGCCAGGGUAUAGUUAAGAUUGUACCUAUUAAGGCAAUGAGUGUGAACUGAUUGUAAACAAAGGUGGUAACACGAGUUUUUGAGUCUCGUCCUUUUC